GCAGUGAGCUCUAGCGACACUACAUGCAGUCGAGCGAAUCUGAGGGAGCUUGCUCCCAAAGAUUAGCGGCGGACGGGUGAGUAACACGUGGGCAACCUGCCUGUAAGACUGGGAUAACUCCGGGAAACCGGGGCUAAUACCGGAUAAUAUCUAUUUAUACAUAUAAUUAGAUUGAAAGAUGGUUCUGCUAUCACUUACAGAUGGGCCCGCGGCGCAUUAGCUAGUUGGUGAGGUAACGGCUCACCAAGGCGACGAUGCGUAGCCGACCUGAGAGGGUGAUCGGCCACACUGGGACUGAGACACGGCCCAGACUCCUACGGGAGGCAGCAGUAGGGAAUCUUCCGCAAUGGACGAAAGUCUGACGGAGCAACGCCGCGUGAGUGAUGAAGGUUUUCGGAUCGUAAAACUCUGUUGUUAGGGAAGAACAAGUAUCGGAGUAACUGCCGGUACCUUGACGGUACCUAACCAGAAAGCCACGGCUAACUACGUGCCAGCAGCCGCGGUAAUACGUAGGUGGCAAGCGUUGUCCGGAAUUAUUGGGCGUAAAGCGCGCGCACGCGGUUCCUUAAGUCUGAUGUGAAAGCCCACGGCUCAACCGUGGAGGGUCAUUGGAAACUGGGGAACUUGAGUGCAGAAGAGGAAAGUGGAAUUCCAAGUGUAGCGGUGAAAUGCGUAGAGAUUUGGAGGAACACCAGUGGCGAAAGCGACUUUCUGGUCUGUAACUGACGCUGAGCGCGAAAGCGUGGGGAGCAAACAGGAUUAGAUACCCUGGUAGUCCACGCCGUAAACGAUGAGUGCUAAGUGUAGAAGGGGUUUCUGCCCCUUUAUUGCUGCAGCAAACGCAUUAUGCACUCCGCUGGGGGAGUACGACCGCAAGGUGAAACUCAAAAGAAUGACGGGGGCCCCCAACCGUGGAGCAUGUGGUUUAUUCUAGCAACACGAAGAAACUU
rnacentral:rRNA from 2 species